GUCAUGUGAUGAUGGUUCAAAAGGAUAGCAAGAAGAGAAAGCGCAAGGACAAGGCUAAAACUUCGGAUGAGAUCUCGAGUUCUAAGCCUAAACCUGUUGGAAAGCCCAAGGCUGGCCCUGCCGCUUCUGACACUUGCCACCACUGCCAUAAGACUGGUCAUUGGCGGAGGAACUGCAAAUUGUACUUGGAAGAACUCAAAAAGAAGAAGGGAAGUAAGACUUCAUCUUCAGGGACUGAAAAGGACUAGGAAGUGUGCAAGAGGCGAACUGGAUGCUCGCGUCGGCAAUGGUGCAAAAGUUGCUGCGUUGGCCGUUGGCGUUUACUCCUUAUCGCUACCCUCA